CAGAGAACUGGCUGAUAUUGAAAUGUCAUCUUUAAAGCAGUAUUUCAUGUUGCGUUGGACUGCGUGGGACCUAAUAUUACCUGCAGCUGGAGAAACUGGAUGAAGACCUCCCCAGGCCUCAGUGAAUUCCCGUGAACUCUGAGAAGCCAGAUGGAAGACAGGAGAGGCUGGCACUGUCUCCCCGCACCUCUAUUACUACGAAAAUCAGAUCAAAAUGCCUGGAAAAAGAUAAAGCAGAUGCUCCUUUCCUGGGGUGGAUGGACAGGCUUCAGGUGUGUUUAGGAUCCCCCUGAAAUUAAUGGAAAAUUCUGCGUGUAUGCAUUUUUGCAUUUUCUUCCUAGAUUCUCCAAGCAUGCUCUUAACAUCCCUUUUGGGGGCCAAAAUGGUGUAAUAUUCCAUCUGACAAUAUGCCUGCUAUUUCCUGGCUAAUCUCAAAGAGUGGCAAUGCUUUGCUGUCUAGAGCCCAGCAACUGGCAAUGGCUGCCAUUUGGGCUGAAUGGAUGGUUUAAUUGAGGAAGUCCAGGGUUUGCUAUAAAGCCGUUCCAAGAAUUUGAAAACAUGCUUUCUUUUGAAAAUGAAGGGAAGAGGCUUUUGGAAAUAAGUACGUUUUAAAGAUGUUUACAUCAAUGGUGAAAAGGGAGUAAGAAAUG